CCUACGGGAUGCAGCAGUGGGGAAUAUUGGUCAAUGGGCGCAAGGCUGACCCAGCAACGCCGCGUGAAGGAUGACGGCUUUAGGGUUGUAAACUUCUUUUCUCAGGGACGAAGAAAGUGACGGUACCUGAGGAAUAAGCCACGGCGAACUACGUGCCUGCAGCCGCGGUAAUACGUAGGUGGCAAGCGUUAUCCGGAUGUAUUGGGUGUAAAGGGCGUGUAGGCGGGAGCGCAAGUCAGAUGUGAAAACUCAGGGGUCAAACCUGAGCCUGCAUUUGAAACUGUGUUUCUUGAGUGCUGGAGAGGUAAUCGGAAUUCCGGGUGUAGCGGUGAAAUGCGUAGAUAUACGGAGGAACACCAGUGGCGAAGGCGGAUUGCUGG
rnacentral:rRNA from 1 species